AUUGAACGCUGGCGGCAUGCUUUACACAUGCAAGUCGAACGGUAACAGGUUAAGCUGACGAGUGGCGAACGGGUGAGUAAUGCAUCGGAACGUGCCCGAUCGUGGGGGAUAACGCAGCGAAAGCUGCGCUAAUACCGCAUACGAUCUGAGGAUGAAAGCGGGGGACCGUAAGGCCUCGCGCGAUCGGAGCGGCCGAUGUCAGAUUAGGUAGUUGGUGGGGUAAAGGCUCACCAAGCCGACGAUCUGUAGCUGGUCUGAGAGGACGACCAGCCACACUGGGACUGAGACACGGCCCAGACUCCUACGGGAGGCAGCAGUGGGGAAUUUUGGACAAUGGGCGCAAGCCUGAUCCAGCAAUGCCGCGUGCAGGAAGAAGGCCUUCGGGUUGUAAACUGCUUUUGUACGGAGCGAAAAGGCUCUCUCUAAUACAGGGGGCUCAUGACGGUACCGGAAGAAUAAGCACCGGCUAACUACGUG
rnacentral:rRNA from 1 species